CUACGGGUGGCAGCAGUGAGGAAUAUUGCACAAUGGGGGGAACCCUGAUGCAGCAACGCCGCGUGGAGGAUGACGCAUUUCGGUGUGUAAACUCCUUUUAUAUGUCAAGAAAAUGACGGUAGCAUAUGAAUAAGCACCGGCUAACUCCGUGCCAGCAGCCGCGGUAAUACGGAGGGUGCAAGCGUUACUCGGAAUCACUGGGCGUAAAGGACGCGUAGGCGGGUUGGAAAGUCAGGUGUGAAAUCCUACAGCUUAACUGUAGAACUGCAACUGAAACUUCUAAUCUAGAGUAUGGGAGGGGGGGAUGGAAUUAGUGGUGUAGGGGUAAAAUCCGUAGAUAUCACUAGGAAUACCUAAAGCGAAGGCGAUCUCCUGGAACAUUACUGACGCUAAGGCGUGAAAGCGUGGGGAGCAAACAGGAUUAGAUACCCUAGUAGUC
rnacentral:rRNA from 1 species